CCCUGCCAGGCUUUCUCUAAGUGUAACAUGUCAUUUUCGACUUCCUCACCUUGAGCAGUCAGUGUGUGCUUGGGUUCUUGAUUGUGCAAUUUAAAAGAUGCUUAAUCAUGACCUUCGCGACUUUUUCUCUCGUUAUGCUCUUAGUCAUUAAAUACAGCCAAUUCAAAAAAGAUUGUCCUUUGCAAACCUUAAACUCUAAACCUUAAGGGACCGGUCAUUAUUUAUGGUGGGGGGUGGCACCGAAGAGAAAUGUUUUUUGUGGCAAAAAUUUUGCUGACCCAACCAUUAAAAAGUCAAAAAUUUGAUUACCCAGCCUCAAAUAUCAAUUAAAAAAUAAAUACCCACCCCUGGCCAAAAACUUUACAAAUUGAAAACCAUUCAGUCGUCACACGUGUCCUUUACCAUUUUUGUGACAUGAGUUCGAUAACGGCUUGUGAAAUUUUCUAAAGUUUCAUGUUGUCUGCAACAAAUCGGACUGAAAUGAUCAAGAUAGUGACUCUGAUUGAUUCACAUAUUGUAUUGACAUAUCACUGUUGACAUUGCUUUUCAGUCUCCAAUAUUUCAGUGAGUCGUGCUUUGGAAAUGACAAUAAAUUUUUUGAUUACCCAACCCUUGAGUUGUUUUGUUUUUCAUUUACCCAACCUUUUACUCACUCAAAAUUUUGUUUACCCAACCCUUUUCUCUUCGGUGCCACCCCUUGCCAUAAAUAAUGACCGCUCCCUAAACUCUAAGCGCGCAAAGC